GAAGGUAUAGCUCAGUGGUAGAGUGCUUGCUUAGCAUGCAUGAGGUCCUAGGUUUGAUCCUCAGUACCUCCU
rnacentral:tRNA from 1 species